AAAGACUCAAUUCUUAGGUUUCCGUGUCCAACAUUUGACCGUCCGUCUCUUAUAUGAAAUUUUUUUAUGAUUAGUAUUUUCAGAUGAUAAAAUAUGAAUAAUAUUUCAUGCAUGAUUUAUAUUUUUAAAUUUUUUCAUAAUUUUCUCAAAUAAGAUAGACGGUGAAACGUUAGACACGGAAACUCAAGAAUUUAGUUUUU
rfam:Oryza sativa Japonica Group DNA, chromosome 12, cultivar: Nipponbare, complete sequence.